GACGAACGCUGGCGGCGUGCUUAACACAUGCAAGUCGAACGGAAAGGCCCUUCGGGGUCCUCGAGUGGCGAACGGGUGAGUAACACGUGGGUGAUCUGCCCUGCACUUUGGGAUAAGCCUGGGAAACUGGGUCUAAUACCGAAUAGGACCACGCGCUUCAUGGUGUGUGGUGGAAAGCUUUUGCGGUGUGGGAUGGGCCCGCGGCCUAUCAGCUUGUUGGUGGGGUAAUGGCCUACCAAGGCGACGACGGGUAGCCGGCCUGAGAGGGUGACCGGCCACACUGGGACUGAGAUACGGCCCAGACUCCUACGGGAGGCAGCAGUGGGGAAUAUUGCGCAAUGGGCGCAAGCCUGAUGCAGCGACGCCGCGUGAGGGAUGACGGCCUUCGGGUUGUAAACCUCUUUCAAUAGGGACGAAGCGCAAGUGACGGUACCUAUAGAAGAAGCACCGGCAAACUACGUG
rnacentral:rRNA from 1 species